CUCAAGUUGGGCAAUGUCAGUCUGCUUAGAGAAGCAGAAAGCUGAAAAGGGAGCCUAGGUUUUAUUUUUAAACGCUGAAAUUAAGGGAGAAGACAAAGUAGAAAAGAGCUGUUGGAAAGUCUAAAUUUCUAAAACAUAAGGAUACAAAUUCUGUUUCCAGUUUCACGGAGUGAAGAUAAGACCCUCUUGCCAUGGUGAAGGAAGACUGGGCCCAUCGCAGGGCUCUGCAGGAUGCAGGAUAGAGAGCAGAGUUGCAGGAGUCAGAGGCAGAGCUCCAGAAGCAGAGGUGCAGCAGUCAGAGGCAGAGCUCCAGAAGCAGAGGUGCAGCAGUCAGAGCCAGAGCUCCAGAAGCAGAGGUGCAGCAGUCAGAGCCAGAGCUCCAGAAGCAGAGGUGCAGCAGUCAGAGGCAGAGCUCCAGAAGCAGAGCUGCAGCAGUCAGAGGCAGAGCUCUAGAAGCAGAGCUGCAGCAGUCAGAGCCAGAGCUCCAGAAGCAGAGCUGCAGCAGUCAGAGGCAGAGCUCUAGAAGCAGAGGUGCCACAGUCAGAGGCAGAGCUCCAGAAGCAGGGUGCACCUCCUUUCCAGGUGCUGCAAGGCCUCACCAGCACCUAUGUGGGUGAGUUGCCCAGAACGCUUUCCCAAAGGAGGUGGCAUCCAGGCUGAGACAUGCGUGUGAGAUGAAGCUACCCUAGAGACCCCUCCAGAAGAAGCAACCACUCAGAGGCAAGAGGAAGCAAAAGGAACUAAGAAGCAGUGGAUGCUUCAAAGCUGGACCAGAAUGGCAGUGGGGAAACGCACCAUGGCCAGACCAAGCAGGGCUGCAUUUCCAGAGUAAGAUUUUGAACUUUUGUCCAGAAAACAAGGUGCCACUGAAGCAUCUGAGUCAGGCAAGUGACCUGACAGGAUGUGCACCAGGGGGAGGUCAGUGAGGCCAGCUCAGCUUACGGGAGACAUGGCACAGAACAGGUGUAAAGGAAGACCACCCUGAUGACAGAAAGGGAUGGACUGUGCGACAGUAGGAGCGGGAAAGUGGGGUACAGUAAGCAUGUCCUAUGGAUUGCUGGGCAAUGCUAACAAUCAUCUCUGCUUUCUCUCUGGGAAGAGUCACAGCUUCCUCUUGCACACAUUCCUACUGCCUGGGGAGCUAAAGGCAAGUAAUCCUAGAAUGGGACAUGUGACAAGCAAGGUGUUCCUGACAGCCAAUUUUAAAGGCAGUUUUCAUGUAUCUUUUAUCAUAUCACUUAAGACGAUUCUUGCUAUACCACACA